GUCAGUAGUGCAAUGGGUGCACGCGUUCCCAGACAAAGUAAGGUGUGGGUUCGAGUCCCGCCUGAGGCA